UAAUGUGUAAAGGUCACCCAGGU
rnacentral:misc_RNA from 1 species